UUGUGUUUUAGCGUAUUGUUAUUGCUUGUUGUUUAUACUGUUUUAAUUGUUUUUAAUUUGCUUUUUGUUUUGUAUUGUUAUAUUGUGUGUUGAGACCUUGGCCUUUGUAAGCCACAUCGAGUCCUUCGGGAGAUGCUAGCGGGGUACAAAUAAAGUUUAAUAAUAAUAAUAAUAAUAAUAAUAAUAAUAAUAAUAAUAAUAAUAAUAAUAAUAAUUCACUGCUAUUCCAUCUGCCCAACAAAGGAUUCCCAUAAGCCACAGCAACACGUGGCCGGGCAAAGCUAGUUGACUACUAAAAGGCAGACUGCAUUUGACAAUCCAGAAUGUUGGAUAAGCGAAUGUUGGAUAAGUGAGACUCUACCGUAUCUAUUUUUAUUUCUGAAAUUCACCACCCUCGGCUUAUACUGGAGUCAAUGUUUUCCCAGAUUUUUUUGUCAUAAAAUUAGGUGCCUUGGCUUAUAUUCGGGUCGGCUUAUACUCGAGUAUAUACGGUAAUUUGAACCACAAUCCACUUGCUAGCAGAAAUCAAAUCAAGCAUUUCCAUGUGGGAAUUCUUUCAGGAUAUUUUUUGAGAGCAUCCAUAGCGCCAUAUUGUUGUAUUCAAUGGGGAAUUAUAGAAAACUAGAAACUAGGAGAAUGGAACAGCCCCAUUCAAAUCAUGUUUAGUAUAAGAAUCCUUUCGAUUAUUUAUCCAUUAUCAGCUUUAAUACCGACAAAUUUGUUCCCCUCUGUGAUUUUAACAUUCGUGGAAUUAACAUUAAUGACGCUACACCCUCUGAAUUUCCUACACUGUUCGGAUUCAUUACAUUCACGGAAGCAUUGUCUGCUUGCUUUCUCUGUAUUAUUAUUGGAACUAUAGUCGAGCAGCUUUCCAGUAAAUUGAAUAGUUACCUAAUCCCUCUUUGAUCAUUUUAUAGUAAACUGUGAAGUUUAUUUCAUGGUUAAUGAUGAGUUAUUUGGAAGGGGGUGGAGAGGAAAAUCCAUUAAUUAUUUACCUUCUGGAAGCUAUCUUAACAUGGAUUUGUUUGACAUCUCUAUUUUUAAUGCAAGGUUAUUUUUUAAUUAAGUUGUGUUCAAAGAAAGGGGGGAAAAGUACAACCUCCACAAAUAUCAAAACCCUUUUUUUUUUCCAGGAAGCGUUCUGUACUAUUUUCUAGGGCAAACAUCCACAGACUUUAGCAUUAACUCCCCGUAAUUUUAAUAUAAAGCCCGAGUUCCUCCCCUUUGACUAUCUCUAUUUUUCAGAAGACUGUUUAAAGUCUCAUGUGAUUACCCCAUUUCUCCUUGUUGAUGAUUCCUUUUGAGAACAUUCUAGGUUAAUUAAUCUGUUAAUAAAAAAAAAAAGAAACGGAGAUUAUCGUGGAGUCGUAAGCAGAGUCCUGUAAAUACACUUUUGAAAAAGAGAAAUGAGAUGCAAAUGGGAUUAGGAACGAAAUUUCAGCAGGCACUAAAUGGGAUAAUUUUGCGUGUUACCACGGAGGAAGAGAAGAGGAAUAACUAAUGAAACGGGAUCUCUUUCAGCUUUGCUUUUCGUGCAGAAGGAAAGUGAGAUGUCAACAGAAGACAGAUCUGUAGAAAUAAAAGUCCCCGACUUUAAUCUGUGUUCAACUUGGACUUCUAUGUGUGUCUGGACACAGUAUUCCAGGUAACCUUGGCAAAAGGUGUGAGACAGCGAGGAAUUGAUCAAGAAAAUCCCAUGCCGGGUGAAUACCAUUGCCUCCUGGUGUUGUACUUUCAAAAUCCACAGGUUUUUCUUUCCUCACUGCUGUGAAAAGCUUGUUAUAAUUUGGUGGCAAAUAUUCAGAUAAUACCUUAUUAUACAGUUUUUCAAGUGUUUUGUGAGUAAGCUGCUAAGCACAAAAUAGCAGGCACAGUUAAGCCAAUAAUAUCAGGUUGCCCUAAGGAAUAUUCUCCAAUUCUCCCCGUUUCUCUGUUUUCUGCUCCCAGGCUUUGUUUCCCAUGUUUCUUUGGUCUCUCUUUGUUGUUGCUCUUUUAAUAGGAAUGAGAUAGAUGUGGUUCCCCAGAAGUUGUUAAACUAUUGUCCCACCAGUUGUUGUUUCACCUCAUCCAUCAUUGGCUUUGUUGGUAAUAGUUGAUGGGCUUUGCAGACCACCUACAUCUGGAGAACGACACAUUUGACAGACUUGUACUGAGUUCUGUCAAUUAUCUUGAAUAUGACUUUUAAAGCGUUUUUUUCCCCAAAAAAAUAUAGACGUCACACUCAACUCUUGGAAUGAUUCUACCAGCGUUGCCUCCAAAAAAUCCUGCAAAUCUCUUGGGAAGACAGGUGAAUAAACGUCAGUGUUAUGGAAGAAGCAAAGACCACCAGCAUUGGAGUGAUUGUCGCACCUCACCUUGCUAAAUACACCAGACUGUACACAGGUUGAAGUUGUUUGUAGUUUAUUAGGAAAUAGGAAAUUAUAGUUCUUAAAAAGCAAAAGUAAAGUUCCAAAAGAUUGCUGCAAAACAAGGCUAUAAAGGAUAAUCCAAGAAAACGUUAGGCACAAAGCAAGGUUCCAUAAAUGCAUGACAAAGUCCCAAGAAACAUGAAUACAACAAGGCUGCAAGACAAUCUGAGAAAGCAAGAGCUGGCUUCUUGACUCAAACGAGAAGUUGCUUUGACAAAGUUUUCUCUCUCAGCACACUCUUUUAAUACCCUUUGCAUAGCAUGAAUGCAUUUCUUUGGCCUCUGACCUCCCUCUUGUUUGCUAUUCUAGCACUACUGCAAAUCCUGAAUUCCAAACAGCCAGCUCUGUGAUUGGCUGAGAAAUGUGAUGCAGCUGGCUGUAUUCAGAAACAUUGAAGAGAUGUUCUCCUGUCAUUUUUAGGGCUAUCAGUAUGAAACUUGGCACACUUGUAGGACACACUUAUGAUUGCAAAUCUGCCAAGUUUCAUGGCAUUUCACUCAUCAACUAUAUUUUGGGAAUUUUAAAAGUUUUUGCCAAUUUUAAAAAAGCAAAAGAGAUAUCUCCUGGAAUUUCUCCACAGCGACAGAACAGGAGUAAGGCACGAUUCCUGCCAAGUUUCAGAAAGAUCCACUCAAUCACUAAUUUUUAGGAAAAAAAUUAAUUUUCUCUCUCUGCUACUGAGAGGAGGAGGAGACAACUUGCAGGGGAGGAAAAUAGGAAACAGCUACCAUAUUUUCAUAGUUUCAAUGAGUUUGCUCAAGUUGUCAGAACUAAUAAUUCAAUUUAGAUCCUUGGAAAACACUAACUUAAAGCAAUGCUAUCCAGAGGGAGAGGUGACCACAAAACUGCCAUUAUAGGCCUUGUUUCCUCCACAUCCAUAGCAUAAUGGCUUUUCUGACAUUUGGUACAUGUUUCAUUGGAACCGAUAGAUUGUAUAAUUAAUCCUGGACCGUACCUUUAGAAGUGAUAUUUGAGAGCCACUGAAUUAGAUUUUAUAGCAGGGAAAGGUCAUUGACAAAGGCACUCUGUGUUAUAUGAGGGACAUGAUGGCAAAGUAUGCAAACCAGAUGCUGUUAAAAGAUUGGUGUGACUUAUAAAGCUCCAUCAAGCCGUCCCCAAUUCUGUACAUGGUCAUUUGAUUAUGUGACAUCAAUAGCAUUAUCUAGCACAUAUUCUACAACUUGUAUAGACUCGUAUCUCCAAGACAAACGGUUAUGGGCUCUUAAGACCAUGAGCUGUGAUUUAUGGCUAGGAGGAAAGUCCCCAGCUCAAGCCACAAAUAAUCUUUUGAAUCAUAGACUGUUUUGUAAGUAUGGAUUCCUGUUUCAAACCAUUCAAAACAAAAGCAAAGCUGCUUCAAGACAAGGGCCAGUUAUGCCGUAAAGCAUAUAACCAUUUAUUACAACAUAUUUGAGGGGGAAAAAUCUCCCACAUUUCUCAGAGUUCUGUUCAAAGAACCAGAGUUCUGUUUAAAGAUUCCUGAACCAGGAUACAGGACAGAGCCAUGCCUUUCGUAUACGUUUAGAAAUACAGUAAGACCCUGCAGCACAAUACAUAGCUUUCCAAGACAUUUUAAGGAGGCCAAGGGAAAGGAAGAACUAGGACCUGGAGUUAUCUUCCCUGGACUUCCUUUAAAAAACCCUCUCUUUUCUCUACUGUAAGCCCUGUCUGGAGUGGGCACGCUUCAAUCUCUUGAUGUUAGGGAUUCCUCUUCUUCAGAAGAGGAAGGGGAGUAGGAAAGUUUUCAUGAGUCAAAGGGGCAGUUGGAAUCUGAGGAAGAGAGUUUGCAAGUACCCACAUUUCAGGAAAGGUGAAAAUAAACAGAGCAGAGAUGUCAUUCAGCUAGAAUAGCUGCCAGAAAUGCAGCUGAGUAAUUAGGAACUGCCCUAACAGCUGUGAGGGGACUCAGGAAUAUAAAGCAGAAGCAGGUGCAGCCAGCUCUUGCUGGUAACAAACUGACUCUUAAUGCCUAAGCCUUCGCUCCCCUUGUACCUGCUUUGAAUCUGCAUCUGGGAAACAGCUCCUAAGGAUUUAUUGAUGUUUCUUUGUCUGCAGACUGCUACUUGAUUUAGGAAUUUAUCAGAGACUUAAGAACUGUGUUUGCCCUAAGACUUCCUUGCUUUCUUUUGCAUUAUACCACUGCGUGUGCUGUUAUUUAUGUUUUGCUGAAGUAAAGCAGUUUUCAUUUACUUA